AUUCAGUUCAAACUAGAUGGAGGGAUAAACAAAAAUAGAUCUGCGACUAGGGUUUUCAAUUUCAAAAGGGUUAACUUUAAAGAAUUAAGGAAAUUAAUCAGGGUAGAGGAUUGGACUGAAGAACUUGUGGCUCUAAAGGGGGGAGGAGGCCUGGAAUUACUUUAAGUCAAAGUUGCUGAAACUAUCAGAAGCCUGCAUAACAAGAAAGGGGAAAAAUUCAUAGGCAGGAGUUGUAGACGAAGCUGGAUGAGCAAGUAUCUCAGAGAGGUGAUUAAGAAAAAGCAGAAAGCCUACAAGGAGUGGAAGAUGGGAGGGAUUAGCAAGGAAAGCUACCUUAUUGAGGUCAGAACAUGUAAGGAUAAAGUGAGAAAGGCCAAAAGCCAUGUAGAGUUGGACCUUGCAAAGGGAAUUAAAACUAACAGUAAAAGGUUCUAUAGCCAUAUAAAUAAGAAGAAAACAAAGAAAGAAGAAGUGGGACCUCUAAACACUGAGGAUGGAAUGGAGGUUAAGGAUAAUCUAGGCAUGGCUCAAUAUCUAAACAAAUACUUUGACUCAGUCUUUAAGAAGGCUAAUGAGGAGCUUAGGGAUAAUGGUAGGAUGACAAAUGAGAAUGAGGAUAUGGAGGUAGAUAUUCUACCAUCAGAGGUAGAAGCCAAACUCCAACAGCUUAAUGGGACUAAAUCGAGGGGCCCAGAUAAUCUUCAUCCAAGAAUAUUAAAGGAACUGGCACAAAAAAUUGCAAGCCCAUUAGCAAGAAUUUUUAAUGAAUCAGAAAACUCAAGAAUUGUACCAUACAACUGGAAAAUUGCUAACAUAGUUCCUAUCUUUAAGAAAGGAAAAAAAAGUGAUCCGAGUAACUAUAGGCCUGUUAGUUUGACAUCUGUAGUAUGCAAGGUCUUGGAAAAAAAUUUGAAGGAGAAAGUAGUUAAGGACAUUGAGGUCAAUGGUAAUUGGGACAAAAUACAACAUAGUUUUACAAUAGGUAGAUUGUGCCAAACCAACCUGAUCUCCU
rnacentral:lncRNA from 1 species